AGCUCCAGUCCCAGCACAACACACUGACAGCGCACGAUCGCAGGGAGGUGGAUCUCCAGCAGCAAACACAAGAAGCUCUCUGCACUCUUUACACUGGGCUCUUUUAUUAUUAUUAUUAUUAUUAUUAUUAUUAUUAUUAUUAUUAUUAUUAUUAUUUUCUGAGCCUCCUUCAUUUUGUAGUCUGUUAGGUUUUAUAGAGCAGUUGUGUAGCUGAUAUUUGUGUUUGAAAGAGUGGUGUGAGGAGGAACCGCUUCACCUGGAGAAGCUGGAGAGCUGAGAGCACAGGAGUGGAAGGGAGAGGAUUAUUCAUCAAAGAGAGGAAGAACACACAAAGGGUGCUGUGCUGUCAGUGGGAUGGUCGAAGAGUGGAGUGGAGUCCAGGCUGAAGGAGCAUGGUGAAGCACCAACCCCUGCAGGUCUAUGAGAGACAACUGUGCUUGUCCUGUCUAACAGGGAUCUAUGGCUGCCGCUGGAAACGUUAUCAGCGCUCGCACGAUGACACCACAAAGUGGGAGUGCACGUGGACCUUCAUCCUCUUCGGGACUUUCACCUUGCUCCUGUUCUGGUUUUAUUUCUGGUUGGAAGCAAGUAAUGACUACAGCGAAUUUAACUGGUAUUUAUAUAACCAGUCAGACGAGUGGAGUGAUGGAACUGUUCCCAUACUGGCCACGACAGCUGCAGGCUUCACCUAUAUUGCAUUUUUAAUGAUUUUGGCACUUUGUCACAUCGCAGUUGGACAGCAGCUGAACCUGCACUGGAUCCAUAAGAUCGGCGUGACCGCAGCUUUACUGACCACCAUGAUCGGCAUGAUCUCCGUCGGUCAGAUAUGGAGCGAGGAAUGGGAUAUCUUCUCAAUCUCUCUACAAGCCACAGGACCAUUCCUGCACAUCGGUGCUCUGGCUGCAGUUACAGCGUUGGCCUGGCUGGUGGCUGGACAAGUGGCUCGAUCUGAGAAGACCAAGUUUCAGGUAAUUGUGCUGCUCAUCUACCUGGUGGUGCUUCUGAGCCUGUACCUGACCCCGCUGUCCAUCACAUCGCCCUGCAUCAUGGAGCGAAACGACCUUAAAGCACGACCUGCCGUCAUCGGGCAGCGCGGCGCUCCCAUGCUGGCUCCGGAGAACACGCUGCUCUCUUUCCAGAGAGCGCUUCAGAAGAACGUUAGCGGGUUGGAAGCUGAGGUGGCCAUCAGUCUAGACGGAGUACCAUUCCUGAUGAGAGAUCGUACCCUGAGGAGAACCACAGAUGUGAGCAAAGUCUUUCCUGAAAGACAGAAUGUCGACGCCUCCUUCUUCAACUGGACUGAACUGAGCAUGCUCAAUGCUGGCCAGUGGUUUUUAAAGGAUGACCCGUACUCGAUGGUGCGGUACAUGUCUGAGCGAGAGCGCUGGCUAGUGGGGAAUCAGACGGUGUGCAGUCUGGAACAGAUGCUCCAGUUGGCGGCCCGCUCCAACCACUCAGCCCUGUUUACCCUCCGCAGACCUCCACCGGGGCACCCACACAACCUGAGCUGGGUCAACCUCACCCUCACCACCGUCCUGCACUCGGGCAUCCCUCAGCACCUGGUGGGAUGGAGUGUGGACUGGGACAGAGACCUGGUACGGGAGCAGGCUCCAGGCUUCCAGCAGAUCUCCACUAACAUACAGCCGCUGGAGAAUCUUCAUGAGAAAGGCAUCAGCAGAUUAUUGCUGCGCUACAACCGUGUCAGUGAUGAGGAUAUACGGACGUACACGUCUGGUAACGUGAGUGUGACUCUAUACACGGUCAACGAGCCGUGGCUGUACUCUGUCCUCUGGUGCAGUGGCGUGCAGUCCGUCUCCUCUGAAGCACCACAGAUCCUCAAGAAAGUUUCAUCACCUCUCUGGCUCAUGGGUCCAGAGGAGUACUGCCUGAUUUGGGUCGCCACCGAUCUCCUGUCCUUCGCUGUGGUCCUGGGGAUUUUUGUCUUUCAGAAGUGGAGGAUGAGUGGCAUGCGUAGCUACAACCCAGAGCAGAUCAUGCUGAGCGCCGCUGUCAGGAGGUCGAGCCGAGACGUCAACAUCAUGAAGGAGAAACUCAUCUUCUCUGGUCAACAGCAGUAGCAGUUUAACCCCAGCUGUAACCCUCCAUCAUCUCAUCUCCAAUCCUGAACCAUCCUACUCCAUGCUGCUCCUCCCUGAACCAUCCUAAAUCAUCUUUCACCAUCCUGCUCCAUCCCAAUCCAUCCUGAACCAUCCUGCUCCAUCCCAAUCUCAAUCCAUCUUGAGCCAUCCUGCUCCAUCCCACAUCAUCUUUCACCAUCCUGCUCCAUCCCAAUCUCAAUCCAUCUUGAACCAUCCUGCUCCAUCCCACAUUAUCUUUCACCAUCCUGCUCCAUCCCAAUCCAUCCCGAACCAUCCUGCUCCUUCCCAAUCUAUCCCGAACCAUCCUGCUCCUUCCCAAUCCAUCCCUAACUAUCCUGCUCCAUCCCAAUCCAUCCCGAACCAUCCUGCUCCAUCCCAAUCCAUCCUGCUCCAUCCCGAACCAUCCUGCUCCAUCCCACAUCAUCUUUCACCAUCCUGCUCCAUCCCAAUCCAUCCUGAACCAUCCUGCUCCAUCCCGAACCAUCCUGCUCCGUCCCAAGCCAUCCUGCUCCAUCCUAAUCCAUCCCAAACCAUCCUGCUCCAUCCCAAUCCAUCCUGCUCCAUCCCGAACCAUCCUGCUCCAUCCCACAUCAUCUUUCACCAUCCUGCUCCAUCCCAAUCCAUCCUGAACCAUCCUGCUCCAUCCCGAACCAUCCUGCUCCGUCCCAAGCCAUCCUGCUCCAUCCUAAUCCAUCCCGAACCAUCCUGCUCCAUCCCAAGCCAUCCUGCUCCAUCCCAAUCCAUCUUUCCCCAUCCUGCUCAAUCCCCCAUCAUCCACCAUCUCGCUGCCUCUCACUGCAUCUUGCCAUCUCUCUAUCCAUCCACCCACCGCUCCAUCCUUCCUUCACCUCCAGUCGUCUCAUAAAUGGCUCUGGUUGUCAUUGCAGUUCUCUCAUCAUGAGGUCAGCGAUGGGGUCAGCUGUGAGGAAAAUGGGUUCGACUUCUACACCAAUCAGGAUGUCCACUGACUCGGCGCCCCUCACUGACUGGGUCAGAAAGUAUCAUUUGCGACUUGGCCGUCCAGCCUGAACCGCCUUUCUUUCUUUUCCAGAUGUUUCUGCUUCCCCUCAUUGCUUUGCCACAGUUUUCCAUUUUCAGUGUCCCUGUGAGCUCUGGAAUGUCACUGUAUUGCUAAAGGAACGUCAGUGUAUAUCCUGUAUGUAUAGUUUUUUUUUUUAAACUGUAAAUUACUUGUGAAGAAUUUGACGUGACCAGUCGGUGGUCUCUUGAGCGCUCAUGACGACUGGAACAUCCACCAUUUUAUUCUGGCUGCAAACACAGCUGUAAUAAAACCCUCCCUUAAUUUUGGAGAUGACCGAGCGUAA